GAGGGCAGGAAAGCUUCAGGUAUAGGGUCUGACCUACCUGACCAGAAUGAAGUGCUCACUAUACGUGAACAUGAAGUAGGGGCUGCAGAGAGUGAGGUCACCACCGAGGGAUUGCUGGACAUCUCCAGAGGGAUCUCGUUCUGGGGAGGGCGGGGGAUUGGUGGCCACUAAUCCCGAGUAUCCUAGUUCACACCUAGUCAAGAGGCUUUGCAUGUGAGAUUAGAAAUUCAUUUGUUCCUGUAUUCAUUUGACAUGUACAGACUUACCUACAUGCCUGUGCCGGCACCAUGCUCGGUAUGGAGUGAGACCCUGCCUUAGGGGGCCUUCAGUACUAGGGGCCGGUGUGAAUUAAGUGUUCACGGUGAAGAAGGGGAUGUUACCUCUUGGUAUUGCUCAGGAACUGGAGGGUAGAGAAUUCUUGCAGAAGGAGGUGACACAUGGGUGUGGGGGUGCUGGAGAGUAGGGAAGGGUGCUUAGUCCAAGGGUCAACAUGAACAGAGGCCCUGAGGGCUCAAGGAACAUAUAUCCCCCUAGAAUUGAUAACCUAAUCUUGAGUGGGGGGGCAGGGGCCGUCUGAGAGACCCGCCUGACCCCCUGUACCUGGAGAGAAGUUGGACAGGGAUUCUGAGUGCCUGGGGCAUAGCCAGGAUUUGGCAGUGGUUUAGAGCUCUAGGUCACAGUAGCAGGGGGCUGCAGCCGGGAAGAGCAGAGUCAGGGACCCUCCCCCUCUGCAGGCAUUCCUGGGGUGCACCACCCUUCCUGAGUAUUCCCUGCCCCUCUCUGGUUUGUGACAGUGGCACUUCUACUCACUGAGCAGGCGCUGAGAGUGAGGCCUCACACCAAGCGUGUAUCACUUGGACCCGUCCUCAUCACCCUCCAGGGAACCAGAGGCAAUCAGUAUCCCCACUUUCUUUUUCACAUUAACAUAUGGAUGCAGAGAGGUAAAGAUACCUUCCUGAGAUCACACAGCAAGUCCAUGGCCUACCUAUCUGGAUGCUUUUUCUUCCCUCUAGAGACGGUUGACCGGUAAACAUAGAAGAGUGACCCCAAACUCGUCUGCCUUCCCACCCCACAACUUGUUAGCUGGAUUUUGCUUAAACAAAUUGCUGGUUCCUCUUCCUCCCCAGGCUUCUCCAUGCAAAAGAGCCUCUAGGCUCCCCUCACCCUCACCCCAGGUGGACCCCCCUCAUCAGAGGCUUUAGCAUCAUGAUGUAGCACCCCCCAGUUCCAUAACUGAAGAUAUUGUAACCUUAUUUAAAAGUGCCCAUCUGAAACGGCAUCCUCCACACCUCCAAUCUGCCCUGCAAGCUGAUCUUGAGUCCUGGGUUCCAGCCUCACGUGUGCCCACUAGGACGGGUGGCGGCAGCUGGCAAUACCUUUGUGCAUGGUCCCUACCUAUCCUAAGUCAGCCUCUUCCUUUGGGAAGCCCCUUAUCUCUGGGCGUGGCUGUUUAUUGGCCCCCUCCUUCCUCUCUCUUUCCCCUGGAAGAUCUCAUUCCAGGCUGCUCUCCCAGGGUGGGGUGCCCAGAGGAAGGCCUCAUAAAGAUCUCACUGAUAACUUGGGUUUAUGGCCCUGGAAGAGAAAGGUUUGGGGCUCAGUUUCUGCUGAAAAUGAUUUUGCUUAAGAGAAGCUGGUAGGCGCCGUGCUCCCCCCCUAUCCUGGUGAGCCCCUCCCUAGACAGCAGACCAAGGGUCAACCAAGCUUCAACCUGGCUCUGUGAUGUUGGCCAGGUCAGUUCCCUUCCUGGAUCCAUGCUUCAGAAGCGGGGGGUAUCUGUCCAUGUCUCAGAGGCAGAGGUGAACCUCGACGUGGGAAUCAUUUUUGCCUUUCACACAAUCCCGCCUACCCUGUCCACUGCUCCUUCUACCCCUCUAGAGGUGAGGUCGCCACCUGCUGUCUCUCUAGAGUAUUACAAGAGGAGUUAGCCAUUCCUGACGAGUCUUUGGCGACAGAGGCCCCUAUUCUUCUGGGAAACAGUCUGCUUCUCCAGACACCAGGGACCGGAGGAGACACCAGAAGCCGGGCCCAGAGCAAGCACAGAGUGUCCUCAUCAGAAGGGGUCCUUUGCCCGGCGAUGUGCCAGGAACAAAAGUUGGGCCUUUCAACUUCAGGUCGGAACCGAAAUACGUCUUCCCGAAGGAGCUUCUGAGACCAGAACAAGAACCCUCAUGUUCCCAACCCCAUGUUCUCUGAGUCUCUUUUAUUGUACCAACCACAAACUAGUAUUAUUAAUGCUAUUA